GAGCUCCUCUUUGGCUAGAGUUGAGUCUAGCUCCUCACGUGAACUUCACAGCUGGCCGGAGCAUAGUGAGAGAGCGCUUCCUUCUCCCUGUAAGAAGCAGGUGGAAUCAUGCAGUGCUCUUGGUUAGUAUGAACUUGGUUAGUGCUUUUGUCCCUCCUCAGAUAUACCUUCGUUACACUGCCACAUGCUUUCCCGAGCACAAAGAUGCCCGAGGUCUUCAAUUACGCGCUCACAGGGCUGAUCUGCAGAAUAUAGCAGUGCCAACCCUGGGCUUCCAACCACAAGAAACGCAUCUCCUGGCACUGUGGAUCUAUCUAUGUGAUACCAUGACCAGCUGAAUGUAGGCCUGUAUGUGCAGCCGUGCUCACACAGAUAUCCGCCUGCUCCCACCACAACAAAAGAAGAAACCAUUCUUAUGAUUGCGUUGGAAAGAAAUUCUUACGAUUGCUUUGGAGGCAAGACCAAGAGAUGUGUCCCACUAAUUCUACCCUGUGGGUGAUCAAAAAUCCUGCUUUAUUUUCUGAAAUUUCACUAGAGGACUCUCACUGUCUAUUCAGACUAGCCUCCACAGGCAGCCUAAAGACUUGAAAACUAAGCGUUCACGAUUGGAAAGGAAUCUCAAAACCUGUCAAAUGCUGUGCCAGAUGUGGAAUCCCACAUUGCUGCGGCAAGCCUGUUCAGACAGGAAUACUCAAAGCCUUAACUUUUUUCAGAAACAAAGCAAGUUUGAAGCCCAUGUGUUGAUGAACCCGCCUGAGGUCAGAGUUCCGCUUGUGAUGCACAAAGACUGUACCUGUUUGAGUGGCCUCUUCAGCGUAACAAACAUCUCAGCACAUGGAAAUGUAGCAUUAGCCUGCAAAUGCAGUCGCUUUCUCCAUGCCACUCCAGACAGCUUAUUGAACAGAGCAGGCUGAUUCUUCCCAGGUUUCGGGCAGCUUCUGAAGACUUGGAGGAUUGAACGCCAAGAAUGGAAAGCUGGUGGAAACAGUCCACUUGCAAGCCUUCAAUUAGACUUCCUCAAUCAGAUGCCUUCCAAUGGUGUUGGACUACAACUCCCAGCUUCCCCACUCCAACACAUAAGAAGGGCACUGGGCUAGGAACGGCUGCCUUAGAUGUUUAUGGCGGAGCUGAUUCAGUGCUUGCUCUGUGAAGGUUCCAGGGAGAUGAAGGGCGAUGGAACCUGGAUUUCUCCAAUGGAUUGUGGCCUGGGUUAAGAACGUUUGAAAAAGCAUUUUUUCACAACAGGGGCGAAAGCGCUACCUGUCUCCCGCUCCACACAACCUCUGCCGCCUGACCACAAACAUUUCCCUCCUAUCCCAGUAAGUAGCUUAGCUAUAUCCAGUCAAACAUAAAACCAGACAAAAGGGAUUAAAAUAUUAUCCUAAGGCAGGGAGAAUAUUGAAGGCAUUUACCUGAAAU
rnacentral:lncRNA from 1 species